UGGGCGCAGCCUGAUGCAGCCAUGCCGCGUGUAUGAAGAAGGCCUUCGGGUUGUAAAGUACUUUCAGCAGUGAGGAAGGUUCAUACGUUAAUAGCGUAUGGAUUUGACGUUAGCUGCAGAAGAAGCACCGGCUAACUCCGUGCCAGCAGCCGCGGUAAUACGGAGGGUGCGAGCGUUAAUCGGAAUUACUGGGCGUAAAGCGCAUGCAGGUGGUUUGUUAAGUCAGAUGUGAAAGCCCGGGGCUCAACCUCGGAAUAGCAUUUGAAACUGGCAGACUAGAGUACUGUAGAGGGGGGUAGAAUUUCAGGUGUAGCGGUGAAAUGCGUAGAGAUCUGAAGGAAUACCGGUGGCGAAGGCGGCCCCCUGGACAGAUACUGACACUCAGAUGCGAAAGCGUGGGGAGCAAACAGGAUUAGAUACCCUGGUAGUCCACGCCGUAAACGAUGUCUACUUGGAGGUUGUGGCCUUGAGCCGUGGCUUUCGGAGCUAACGCGUUAAGUAGACCGCCUGGGGAGUACGGUCGCAAGAUUAAAACUCAAAUGAAUUGACGGGGGCCCGCACAAGCGGUGGAGCAUGUGGUUUAAUUCGAUGCAACGCGAAGAACCUUACCUACUCUUGACAUCCAGAGAACUUUCCAGAGAUGGAUUGGUGCCUUCGGGAACUCAGAGACAGGUGCUGCAUGGCUGUCGUCAGCUCGUGUUGUGAAAGUUGGGUUAAGUACAGCAACGAACCAACCGCUUUAUUCUUGUUUGCUAUCGAGGAUUGUCCGGGACGUGCAGGUAGACUGCCAGGGAUAAACACGGAGUGAGGGUGGGGACGAUUCCAAUGAUCUUCGUUCGUUA
rnacentral:rRNA from 1 species